CCCUACGGGGCGCUGUGUAGUACAUGGAACUGCUAGACACAUCAGAAGUUACGGCCUUCAUGCACGACUACCCGGAAAUGGUGUCUCGCCCGGAACAAGGCUUCGUGGUAGUUUUAAAAGGAACGUUCAAAUUCUCGGCAGAAGCCGAGGGAAUGGGCGUUAUUAAAGAUUCCUAUUGCCUCGUAAUCAAAUGCCUAAAGGGUUUUCCAAAAGAAACUCCCUUAGUCUUUGAGACGGCAGGAAGAAUCCCGCGUGACAGUAAACAUCACGUCAACCCUGAUGGGUCCUUAUGUUUGGGAUCGCCUUUACGGCUAAAGUUGAUUCUUGCCAACAACCCAACGUUGGCUGGCUUCACCGAGAAGUGUUUAGUGCCUUGGCUCUAUAGCAUGUCAAAACACUUAUUACACAGCGCGCCGUUUGUGUUUGAUGAAUUGGCGGGGGAGC
rnacentral:rRNA from 1 species